rnacentral:pre_miRNA from 1 species
AUUUCUUUUAACAUAUCAAGAAGUCGAAUUAGCAGUGAAGAAAGAAGUAAGAAGUUGAAAGCCAUCAUUGCCUAUAACCAAAACCCAUAAACCCAUAUCAUGCUUUUUUAUUCAUUUUCAAUUCGACUUUCUGAUAUGUUAAAAGAAAU